rnacentral:rRNA from 1 species
AAGAUUAAUACCGCAUAAGAUUGUAGUAUCGCAUGAUAUAGCAAUUAAAGGAGCAAUUCGCUAUAAGAUGGACCCGCGUCGCAUUAGCUAGUUGGUGAGGUAAUGGCUCACCAAGGCGACGAUGCGUAGCCGACCUGAGAGGGUGAUCGGCCACAUUGGGACUGAGACACGGCCCAGACUCCUAACGGGAGGCAGCAUG